AAACAAACCCUCCUUCCAUACUGAUUCUUACUUGGAAAAGGUUAUAAUAUCAAUUUAUAAUAACAAUAAGAUAUACGUAUGGAAGAGAGUGUAUUGAGGUACAGUUGAUCAAUAGUAACUUGGUUCUGUUUGUAUUUGUUUCAAAAUGUUCUUGCUUUUUUCUUACUCAGGAAGUUCCAUAGAGUAGUGAACUGGUCUAACUGGAGAAUGUCCUACUUCCCAAAAAAGAGGCAGUGUCUGAGCUGGCAUUUGAAUGGAAGGAUCACAACAUACCUUUCAGUUUAAAAUUUAUUUAGUACAGAUAAUUUUGCAUGCCUGCAGUUAUCCUUUAGUAAUACCAGUUGGCUCCUUAUACACUGCCUCAGUCUGAACAACAGCAGGAAAGAGUUUAACAGCAUGAGAAGGUAGAGCAAAUGUGAUCUGUAUUUCUGCAGAUGUGAAGGUUAGAAAGAUAAAGGGAAAAUGAUUAAAAUAUUCCCAAGAAGUGCCCUAGAUAAGAUUGUUUCGUGUCUGAGGGCAUGAUGAAUCCUGUGGGAAUGAGGAAGCUAAAAGGCUGUUUAAUUCUGAUGUUUCACACUGAAUCAACAUGUUAGCUAUCAAAGUGGUAUUAGUGAAAUUUGUAAGAACAUGGACAUUUUAUGUAAAGAAUAUAGAAAUAAAGUAAGUUAGUCCAAAUCAAAUCCUUUGCUGUAUCUGAGCUACGCAGAGAAUGAACAUUGGAGGCUUAACGUGAGUAUAAUAAAUCAAACUGCCAGCUGAGCCUCAGAGGGCUUUAUUCAUGCACUUCAUUGUUCUCUCUGCAGCUACAGCAGGGUUCAGCCAAACGCAGGGCUGUCAUUCUGCAGAUGUUCAGAGUGUUUCCCAGUGUUCUGAGGACUGAGCUGGUGUCUGUGUGUUGUCCACACUGCUCCCUUCACCGCUCCAAGUGGCCGUGCUCUGACUUCCAUGGGGACUUUCACAUGCAGAAAUCACAGCGUGAGUUUGCAGUUUUGGCUAAUAUAGUGGUUGUCCAAGUAAACUGCAUCAUGAAAUCCAAAAAUUCCUGGAGUGGUAGAGGAAGUAGGAAUCCCUCAGCUGGAAGACAGAGAACUUGACUACCCUUCUGUCACAGUGCUUUUGACAUGUUCAGUUUAAGCCAUCCUGAAAAUGUACCAGCAGUCAGGCUCUGUGGUAGGUGACCAGCUGCUCUGCACCAAGGCCCUGCAGUGAGGUAUGGUAGUCUGUUGCUGUAAACAUCCCCGACUGGAAGCUGUACCUGCUCCAGCUUUCAGUCAGAUGUUUGCUGCACCUGGCUAUGCUUGGACAACAGCAGAAGGAGGAGCUGUCAUGAAUACGUAUGUGCAUUUAUAUUUGUCAAGCAGUGUUUCUGCAGACAGAGAUGGAUUGCCUCCCUGUGAAUUACCCUGUCUGGUAGGUGUGAUCUCCUGAAAUCUGAGCUGAAAUGGAGAUCCCAAGCUGAGCUCUUUGCUGCUUUGUGUUAUAAACUACAGGAUUAGGCUUCCUUGGAAUGACCAGUGGUGGUGAACUUCUGCAGUUACCCAUGAACCCUUCAUUGCUUCAUCAAUGGUCAGUUUUAGCAGCUUCUGUUACUUAGGGCUGUGGGGAAAGAAUAUUAUCAGUGCUGCCCAAUACUUAGCAGGCCUCAUAUCUGCUGCGCUUUGCUUUUUGUUGUUUUCUCUGGAAUUCUGUAUUCCAAGUCUCCUUGUAAGAAGGUUGUUCUCCUAAUUGUUAGAUGGGCAUAACCCAAGCCCAAAAUAAAGGUUAAAAACGUAUCACCCAGUCUGUUUUGCUGGUCUCCCAAUCCACAGUGUAUAGCCUUGUCUGUGGUGUGGUUUGUGCUGCCCCCACCAUGGUUUGCUUUUCAUGGAAAUAACAGCUUUUGAAAGUAUUCCUUCAGAAGUCUUCACUGGUUCAGUUCCUGAACAACUUAAAAGUCAUGGUAUCAGGAACAGUAUCUGCAGAAAAGCUUCAGCUUUCCAUUUUUCCCUAGUGGGAUCUGCACAUGCUGUUGCCUGGAUCUUGCCUGGGAUUUCUUUCCUUCUUUGUUUCACUCUAGUCUUCUAUUUUUAAAGGGAUGGCCAAUGAGAGUAACUGCUGCUAAUAGAAAAAAUAUUCUUGCAAUAAUCCAGCUCUCUCUUCUAGCCCCUCCAAAAUGUUAUUUUUUUAUUCCCUAACACUUAAUGAAAUACUUUGUUGAAUUUAAAUGUUAGUAUUCCAAACCUAGGUAUUUAUUUGUUUAGGUUCACUAUAGUGGUUCUGUAAAAGAUGAUUAUGACCAAAAAUACAGAUACUUUUAAAAAGUAAAAUAUUUUCUCCUCAACUCGUCAGAAUUAAAACUAGAAGGAUUUCUUAGUCCUGGGAAAGCUGGAUUAAUAAGCAUUGGAAAGGUGAUAGUUUUGAAGCUGUCAGUGGCUGACCAAUGGUGAACCAAGGACAGCCAUUUUUCUGUCAUCGUCCCAUUGCUGUAACCCCUUUUUCCUUACCCUGUGUCCUCCCUGGUGACAGAGGAACAUGUGUGGUGAUGAAGGUUGUGAACUUAUUUGUUGAUCUAAUACAUUGCUAGCACCUCUACAAGGAUUUUUAAAGUAACUUGCACACCUAACAUAGCCUCAGUUAAAAUAGCUUUUUUAAAAACAUCGGUUUUAUUUGGUUUGAUAUGUCAUGGCUGUAUAUUUAUAAAAAAGACUUUGAUGCAUAAGCUACAGAGCUUGAUGCCUUAAAAAAAUGCUGGUAGUUAUUUUCCAAGCUUUCUUUGCUGUAAACAUUUAGCAUUUCCUAGUUCUAGACAGUAUUUGGACUUAGAAGAAAGGAAAUUAUUUUUGUUAACAAACUUCUUAGUUCAAAGUAAACGUAUUAUAAUUAAUCUAGUGUUCAUUUUGUUUAGUUCUGUCUUAGCCAUUCCACAUGCCACAAAAGUGCUGGUUUUUGGGUUUUAUUUACAAGCCUAGUUCAUGUGCAGUUAGUCAGUCCUGUCUUGUGGAGCUAAACUUGUGCAUACCUUCAUAUUGAACUGGUGUCUAAUUCAUGUACUCAAACACAGCUGUUUCAUAUCAGUACAUGAAAAUUAUUUGGAGUGGCUUGUAAUUGCAAUAAAUAAAUAAAUUUAAAAAUCCACGUUCUA